rnacentral:tRNA from 1 species
GGUAGUGUGGCUCAGUGGUAGAGCUCUGGCAUGCACAAGACUCUGGGUUCAAUUCCCAGCCCUGCAA